rnacentral:rRNA from 1 species
UCGUUGGAGAGUUUGAUCCUGGCUCAGGACGAACGCUGGCGGCGUGCCUAAUGCAUGCAAGUCGAGCGACGCGCACCUUCGGGUGUGACGGAGCGGCGAACGGGUGAGUAACACGUGAGCAACCUGCCCUGAAGACCGGAAUAGCCCGGGGAAACCCGGAGUAAUGCCGGAUACACUCCCGAUACCGCAUGGUAUGGGAGAAAAUGCUUUAGCGCUUCAGGAUGGGCUCACGGCCUAUCAGCUAGUUGGUGAGGUAACGGCUCACCAAGGCGACGACGGGUAGCUGGUCUGAGAGGACGAUCAGCCACACUGGGACUGAGACACGGCCCAGACUCCUACGGGAGGCAGCAGCAGGGAAUCUUGCGCAAUGGGCGAAAGCCUGACGCAGCGACGCCGCGUGGGGGAUGAAGGCC